CUUGAUAAAGGCAAACCCUGAGCAAUCAGGGGACGCAAAGGAAAGGGUCUUCCCCUGUACAGGGUAGUAGAGGGGUAAAAUAACAGGUUGUUACGUAUACGGAAAUACGGGUAGCACAAAAAGAUAGCCUUACUGCCAAAA
rfam:Candidatus Brocadia fulgida BROFTL_contig000242, whole genome shotgun sequence.